GACGAACGCUGGCGGCGUGCUUAACACAUGCAAGUCGAGCGGAGCGGCGAACGGGUGAGUAACGCGUGAGUAACUGCCCCCCUCUCUGGGAUAACAGUUGGAAACGGCUGCUAAUACCGGAUAGUGGGGGAUGACUCGCGUCCUAUCAGCUUGUUGGUGGGGUAGUGGCCUACCAAGGCAACGACGGGUAGCCGGCCUGAGAGGGCGACCGGCCAAAUUGGGAUGGGGGACGGCCCAAAAUCCUACGGGAGGCAGCAGUGGGGAAGAUAGCACAAUGGGGGAAACCCUGAUGCAGCAACCCGCGUGCGGGAUGACGUACUUCGGGUUGUAAACCGCUGUCAGCCAGGACGCGGUAGUGGAAGAAGAAGCACCGGCUAACUACGUGCCAGCCGCCGCGGUAAUUC
rnacentral:rRNA from 1 species